CAAGGGUUUGGCUGUUCGCCAAUUAAAGCGGUACGUGAACUGGGUUCAGAACGUCGUGAGACAGUUCGGUCCCUAUCCUGUGCGGGCGGAGGAAACUUGAGGGGUCUCGCUCCUAGUACGAGAGGACCAGAGUGAACGGACCGACGGUGUACGAGUUGUCACGCCAGUGGCAUUGCUCGGUAGCCAUGUCCGGAUGGGAUAAGCACUGAAAGCAUCUAAGUGCGAAACCCGCCCCAAGAUGAGGUUUCCCGUCCCUUCGGGGACUAAGAUCCCAAGGAGAUGACUUGGUUGAUAGGCCGCAGAUGUAAACGCAGCAAUGCGUGAGUCGAGCGGUACUAAUAGAUCGAGAGGCUUAACCAUAAUUUUUGUU
rnacentral:rRNA from 1 species